rnacentral:rRNA from 1 species
UUAAAUUGAAGGGUUUGAUCAUGGCUCAGAUUGAACGCUGGCGGCAGGCCUAACACAUGCAAGUCGAACGGUAACAGGAAGAAGCUUGCUUCUU